rnacentral:rRNA from 1 species
GACGAAGGGGGGCUAGCGUUGUUCGGAAUUACUGGGCGUAAAGCGCGUGUAGGCGGUUAUCCAAGUCGGGUGUGAAAUCUUGGAGCUUAACUCCGAACUGCAUUCGAUACUGCCGUGCUUGAGGACUGGAGAGGAGACUGGAAUUUACGGUGUAGCGGUGAAAUGCGUAGAUAUCGUAAGGAAGACCAGUGGCGAAGGCGGGUCUCUGGACAGUUCCUGACGCUGAGGCACGAAGGCCAGGGGAGCAAACGGG